rnacentral:misc_RNA from 1 species
GUGAAUCAUCGAAUCUUUGAACGCACAUUGCGCCCGCCAGUAUUCUGGCGGGCAUGCCUGUCUGAGCGUCAUUUCAACCCUCAUGCCCCAGCGGUGUGGUGUUGGGGAUCGGCCCGCCCGGGCCGUCCCCUAAAUCUAUUGGCGGACUCGCUGUAGCCUCACUCUGCGUAGUAGUGAUAUUUCGCAUUGGAGAGCGGCGAGCCCCUGCCGUAAAACCCCAACUUCUCAGGUUGACCUCAGAUCAGGUAGGAAUACCCGCUGAACUUAAGCAUAUCAAUAAGCGGAGGA